UGGAUGAUGUGGAUUAAUUCGAUGCAACGCGAAAAACCUUUACCUACCCUUGACAUGUCCGGAAUCCCGAAGAGAUUUGGGAGUGCUCGCAAGAGAGCCGGAACACAGGUGCUGCAUGGCUGUCGUCAGCUCGUGUCGUGAGAUGUUGGGUUAAGUCCCGCAACGAGCGCAACCCUUGUCAUUAGUUGCCAUCAUUUGGUUGGGCACUCUAAUGAGACUGCCGGUGACAAACCGGAGGAAGGUGGGGAUGACGUCAAGUCCUCAUGGCCCUUAUGGGUAGGGCUUCACACGUCAUACAAUGGUCGGUACAGAGGGUUGCCAACCCGCGAGGGGGAGCUAAUCCCACAAAGCCGAUCGUAGUCCGGAUCGCAGUCUGCAACUCGACUGCGUGAAGUCGGAAUCGCUAGUAAUCGUGGAUCAGCAUGUCACGGUGAAUACGUUCCCGGGUCUU
rnacentral:rRNA from 1 species